UGCGAAAGCAGGUCAUAGUGAUCCGGUGGUUCUGAAAUGGAAGGGCCAUCGCUACAACGGAUAAAAAGGUUACGUCCCGGGGAUAACAGGCUGAUACCGNNCCCAAGAGUUCAUAUCNGACGGCGGUNGUUUGGCACCUCGAUGUCGGCUCAUCACAUCCUGGGCUGAAGUAGGUCCCAAGGGUAUGGCUGUUCGCCAUUUAAAGUGGUACGCGAGGGUUUAGAACGUCGUGAGACAGUUCGGUCCCUAUCUGCCGUGGGCGCUGGAGAACUGAGGGGGGCUGCUCCUAGUACGAGAGGACCGGAGUGGACGCAUCACUGGUGUUCGGGUUGUCAUGCCAAUGGCACUGCCCGGUAGCUAAAUGCGGAAGAGAUAAGUGCUGAAAGCAUCUAAGCACGAAACUUGCCCCGAGAUGAGUUCUCCCUGACUCCCUGAGAGUCCUGAAGGAACGUUGAAGACGACGACGUUGAUAGGCCGGGUGUGUAAGCGCAGCGAUGCGUUGAGCUAACCGGUACUAAUGAACCGUGANGCUUAACCUUACAACGCCGAAG
rnacentral:rRNA from 1 species